UGUGUCAGGGAGAUAACCCAGAUCAAAAAAGGGAGGGCUGUUCCUUUAAAUUAAAAAGUGAACAAUUCUUGGGAGCAAAAUGGACCAUCCUUUCAUUGAAGAGGCAAUAAAUAUGAUAAGGCGAGACUGGGCCUGUUCAAGCAGAGAUGCUGAAAAUUAAGGAUUAAUUCCCAAGAUGAAGAAAGCAUUGAGAUCAAGGCAAUAUCAACACGAUUUGAUGCCAAGCUGUGUUCCAACUUCAGAGGCAUCACACUCCUCAGUGGUCUGUGCCGGAGUACUGGAGAGGACGGUCUGUCCAUUGGUCGAACCUCAGACCCAGGAGGGGCAAUGCGGAAGACUGGACCAGAAGAUUACCGUCACAAGGAUACUGCUUUGCGGACUUGGA